rnacentral:tRNA from 1 species
CCCUGGUGGCUCAGACUGGAAAGAAUCUGCCUGCAAUGCAGGAGACCCAGGUUCAAUCCCUGGGUCAGGAA